rnacentral:lncRNA from 10 species
AAGCACCGUCUGAAGGAUACUUUGCGUCUUGAAUACAUUCCUUCUAUGCCAACAGCUGUGGGGGUCUGCUGUGCUCCACGGCUGAAGAGACUGGGUCUUGCUUGUUGUCCAGACUAGGUUCGAAUUCCUGGACUCAAGUGAUUUCUCGCCUCAGCCUCCCGAAGUGCUGGGAAUACAGGUACAAGCCACUGUGCCCAGCCUAAUAGAUGUUUUGAAGACAACUAUCAUCAGGAGGCUGUUCUCCAUGAAAAGAGAGAAAAAAACAAGAAAAUAUGAAAUAGAGCAAACGGGGGACACUAGCAAAGGGCAAAGAAAAUCCUAGAAGGAUGGGGAGCAGAUCCCCAGAAUGGCAGCUGUGCUCCAGAUGUAACCAGCCCACAUUGUAGUAAUGUGACUCAAGACAUGAUGCCACCAUUGUACCUUCUUCUUUAACCUGAGGACACAGUGCUCAGUUUGGCCUGCUGUCAUAUGACCUUUGCAUUAUCAUAAUUUUGGACAUAAGCCCUAUGAUAUAAUGGACAUUGGAUUGGAAAUCAGGAAAACCAGAUCCUACCCACACCUCUACCACUGACUACUAAAUAGAGGGUGAAGGAGGAACUGGGAAGAUUUCAAGCCAACUAUAGAGCUACCAACAAUUUCUGUGGAAGCAAUAAUUUCAUUUCCAUAAUUAGUUAAAAUUAACACCAGUACCGCUAAAGAACCAGAUUAUCAUGAUUAAAAGUCUAACACUUAUGUCCGCAUCACAGUAACAAAAUAUUUAAUAAGUAAAUAUAAUUAGGAAAAAAAGGAUUAUUUAAAAUUACAGCAUCUACUUUUUGAGAAUGCCAAUUAUUUUAAGCCAUUUUAAAACAUUAUUAAAACAUUGCAUUGUAAUUUAACAAUUAUAAUUUAGGUGUGUGCUACUAGGUAGUAAACUUGCAUGUAAAUUUAC